UUUCUAUUUUGCAUUUUGUUAUAGUGGCCAGGAGGUCUUAAUAUUUCAUAUCAUUUAUAUGCUUGAAUCACCUGAAAUUAGUCUGUUAGAGGGUUGAGGUCCUUGGAAUAUAUGGUACUAUAUUAUUUAGGGUUAAUUGGAAGGGUACCAUUGCAACUAUUAAGAGUUGGAGAUAUACCACUACAACUUUUAAUAUUAGAGAUAUGCUACUUCCAUACGUCUUUCAACAUUUUAGGCCCACCCGCAGGGUACGUAUCCCUCUUAGCUUUUUCGUACGGACCGUAUUGCCCUUAUAUACGUUGCUCAUCCCAUCAUCGAUACUCAGAUUGCUUCGCCGCUGUACGUCGCGUCGAUGCUCUAGAUGCUGCCGCGCGCAGGGCCCUGCCGGCUGCCGCAGGCGGCACCGCGGGCGCCUGACACUGCGCGCGGGCGCAGGCCCCUGCGCCAUUCUCUUCCGCAGGCCUCUGCCUGGCCCUCCCUGCCGCGGGCACGCCUGCCCCAGCCACGGUCGCAGCAGGCGGUGCGAUCCUCCUCAGUUCGUCGACUUCGCCGCGCGAUAGCAGUACGUCCGCCCAACCUGAUGCAUCGGCCGCGAGCUAGCCUCCCGCCCGUCCGGCGACACUGGCGCAGUUUCGUCCGGCGGCGGCACCGAGGGCAUCGACGCGACGUACAGCGGGGAAGCGAUCUAAGUACCGAUGAUGGGAUGAGCAACGUACAGAAGGGCAAUACGGUCCAUACGAAAAAGCUAGAGGGAUACGUACCCUGCGGGUGGGCCUAAGAUGUUGAAAGACGUAUGGGAGUAGCAUAUCUCCAAUAUUAGAAGUUGUAGUAUUAUAUCUCCAACUCUUAAAAGUUGCGAUGGUACCCUUCCAAUUAACCCUAUUAUUUAUGCGCACAAGCGCUUGUGUGUACACACCACACAUGCUCGCACAUGGCCAUGUUGAGAAAAGAUUGGAGGCCUAGCCUCGUGUAACGUGGGGAACAUGCUUCGACCACUGACUGCACCAAUAUAUGCAUGUACCACUACUGCCUGGAAUGAAUCUGAGAGGAAUAUGAUGAAUUGAUGAUAUGUAGACAA